GGAAGGUAAAGGCGGUGGAUGUCUCACAUGGGGUGGGUUUUUUUCCCUCCCUCCCUGGCUCCGUCUCCCUCCCCUCCUCCAGUCUGUUGCACGGGAACUGCCGGCCAUGCUGUUCCAGUUCAGGGGCUCCUGCAACAGAAAAGAUCAGCUGUUGGAGAACCCAUGGAAAGCCCUGGGGGAGAGCCAUGGCCGCAAGAAAUUGCUCUAAACGAAGAUCAGAUUUACACUGCAGCACCUAAUUAGAAGCAGUGACUUUGUUUCCCAGUUCCCUUUGGCAGGACUCGCUACAGUAAUACCGGGCAGCUUGGAUUUAUAAUCAGACCUCUCGUGGGAGGUUUCCUCUCUUGAACUUCAGCCAUUGAAAAUGUAGACACCUCAGCUGAGUUCUCCAAUCCACAAACACAAACUGUGUAUCCCUCCUUGGCAUCUCUGACAACCGCCUUCCACGGAGAGGAAUUAUUCUCUGGAUGUACCUCAAUUUAAUUUGAAAAUAAAAUGGGAUUUAAAACAAAAGAAAGGGAAAUGAAACAGUAUCAUUAAUGCAAAACAGCGGCUUGUUCCGUUCUGUUUUUUCUUUCAGUGAAAGGAAAAGGAGAAGAAAGAAAAUUAAUUUCUAGUUAAUCCAAACAUGUUGGAAAUCUGUUCUAUUUCUCUGUUGGGGGGAGAGAGAAACAGGAGGGGAACAAGUGGGGGAAAAAUAAAAAACUCUCACAAGAA